rnacentral:misc_RNA from 1 species
CCUCCUUAUACGAUUUAGAACUUAUUUGUUCGUANUGUCCACACAGAUGAUUGUUAGUUAGCUAAGCCACUGGCUUACCUAAUUAAUAUGCUCUUUAAAAAUUUGGAAAAGCUGAUAAUAAAAUUCGUAUAGAUAACAGUUGUUAUUUAUACAGAGUUUUCAAAAGUAAAAAAUGCCAUUGAUUAUUCAAACGAAUAAUGAAUUGGUAUCUACUUUAGUAUUCAAUAUUAACUUCUGGCGAAGUUAAACUGUCACUAUAAAUACAAUUAAGUGUAAAAACUUUAGUAUUGCGACGUGGAUUUGAUACUUAGGCAACGCCGCUGAUAUUUUUUGUCCCUGGGCGCAUAACGUUGUUUAUGUAACCAAGCUAAAAAUAAAAAUGCAAGGGCA